GGAGGAAAAGAACUAACAAGGAUUCCCCUAGUAACUGCGAGUGAAGCGGGAAAAGCUCAAAUUUAAAAUCUGGCAGUCUCUGGCUGUCCGAGUUGUAAUCUAGAGAAGUGCUGCCCGCGCUGGACCGUGUACAAGUCUCCUGGGAUGGAGCGUCAUAGAGGGUGAGAAUCCCGUCUCUGACACGGACUACCAGGGCUUUGUGGUACGCUCUCAAAGAGUCGAGUUGUUUGGGAAUGCAGCUCAAAAUGGGUGGUAAAUUCCAUCUAAAGCUAAAUAUUGGCGAGAGACCGAUAGCGAACAAGUACCGUGAGGGAAAGAUGAAAAGAACUUUGGAAAGAGAGUUAAACAGUACGUGAAAUUGCUGAAAGGGAAACGCUUGAAGUCAGUCACGUUGGCUGGGGAUCAGCCUCGCUCUUUUGCGUGGUGUAUUUCCUGGUUGACGGGUCAGCAUCAAUUUUGACCGCUGGAAAAAGGCUUGAGGAAUGUGGCAGCUCCGGCUGUGUUAUAGCUUCUUGUCACAUACAGCGGUUGGAAUUGAGGAACUCAGCACGCCGCAAGGCCGGGUUUCGACCACGUUCGUGCUUAGGAUGCUGGCAUAAUGGCUUUA
rnacentral:rRNA from 1 species